GAGAAAGAGAGAGGGAGGAAGAGAGAGAAGCUUGGCCCGACUUAGAAGAGGAGGCGGCGAAUUAUAGGUAAAGAACAGAGCUUUAAAGAAACAUGCCAAGAAAACGGGCAUUAGAAAAAGAUGACAUUUUAAAAGCGAAACGGAUAAAAGUUAGCCAUUCCUCACACCAAAGCGAGCCAGGAUUGGUGUUGACCCUGGGGCAAGGUGAUCUUGGACAGUUGGGCCUUGGACCAGAUGUGCUGGCACGGAAGAGGCCCGCCGUAGUGAAGCUCCCUGAGAAAAUUAUCCAAGCUGAGGCAGGAGGGGUUCAUACAGUGUGUCUGAGCGAAACA